rnacentral:rRNA from 1 species
UACGUAGGGGGCGAGCGUUGUCCGGAAUUAUUGGGCGUAAAGAGCUCGUAGGCGGUUUGACAAGUCGAGUGUGAAAACCCGGGGCUUACCUCCGGGACGCCACUCGAUACUGUUAUGACUUGAGUCCGGUAGGGGAGUGUGGAAUUCCUGGUGUAGCGGUGAAAUGCACAGAUAUCAGGAGGAACACCGGUGGCGAAGGCGGCACUCUGGGCCGGUACUGACGCUGAGGAGCGAGAGCUAGGGGAGCGAACAGG